rnacentral:lncRNA from 1 species
AUGCCAGUUUAUAUGUUCUGAAGAUACAGUGUCUGGUAAAGCAUAUGACGAUGCAAUCCUAGUAUAAACCUUCCGUGUGUUUCUGUUCUGUCUUAGGCAUUAAAGGAUGUGUCUUUUUGGCUACUGCUCUGCUGGAGCUGAAACUUUCCCAAAACUCACAGCUAAGCAGUUCAGUGUGUGUUGCAUGGGACAGCUACAGAAUUCCAAUUACUGCAAUGAAAAUGGAAUGUCUCCAGCUGACUUCACGAGAUUUUGGCUUGAUGCCUGAUACUGAGAACUGGACUGAGCGUCUGCCCGAGCUCUGCUCCGCGGCACUUCAGAAGCAGCAGCCUGAACUCCAGGCAGCGCUGUGUCCACCGUCCCCAGCUCUGCACGGGAGGCUGGCUUACAAAUAGGACAAGUCAUAUCCAUGACUGAAUUCUGUGCUGUCUGUUGGUUUUUGGCUUCUUUGCCUGGGCUAUGUGUGCUGGAUGUCGUGGUUUAGGGCCACGCAAACUCUGUGUCCUGGUGCAUGGGGCAAGCACUGAUUUAUAAGGAUGAUAACUGAAUGGGGCAUAUAAAGCUCUUCUCAAGUCAAACUUUGCAGCACAAGUGAUAAUUGUUUUUAUAGCCAGCCUAACAAAGAUUUUAGUGCCUUUAAACUUUUAUUUGCUUAAACAUAACAAAAGUUCAGUUGUAGUCACAGCUGUUUAUUUUACGAGGCAGUUAUAGGUGGAUUUUGCUGCUGGUCAGGUUUGUGACAAACACGUGCUUUACUGAAGCAAGGUAAAAAUCAUUCCAGGAUCUCUGACAACCUUGGCUAUUGUACUGAACAGAACAGUUUUUUUUUCUUGUUGGAUUGUCCUAUUGUGUGUUUGUUCCUGUUAGCACAAUAAUAGAAAGAGAAGGCUUUACGCAGUUUUAUUGUGAAUGGGUGCUGAUUCAUAAAUUCUGUUGAAAUUGAAAAGAAGUUUAUAGGAAAUGUUUUAAAAAAAAAUGGUUUGGGGGUAUAUUCAGUUAUUAAAAAAAUUAUGAAAUAUGCAGAUGGUUUUAAGUCUUGGUGAAUGAGUGUCCAAAACUUUAGAAUUUGGAUUUCAUUUCGUUUAACUUCCAAAGGCUGUUGGCUGACUGGAGACUUCCAGUGCUAUGAUCAAGCUGCAAAUCUGUUCCAGUUGUAUUGUCAUGUGAACAACUUGCAUGAAAUACAGGCACCCUAAUUCUGAAAUGUGUUGAAGACUGUAAAUGAGUCUUAGAAAAAACAAUGCAGUUUGCUGAUUUGAACAGAGGAACGUUUCCCAAGUAUCUUUCAGUGGAGAAUCAGGAAGGAAAGAGUUAAGAGGACAAAUUUGUGUC